AGCGAACGCUGGCGGCAGGCUUAACACAUGCAAGUCGAGCGGGCCCUUCGGGGUCAGCGGCAGACGUGUGAGUAACACGUGGGAACUUACCCUUUGGUUCGGAAUAACGCUGGGAAACUAGCGCUAAUACCGGAUACGCCCUUUUGGGGUAGGGCUUGCUGCGGCAGGAUCGGCCUUCGUCUGAUUAGCUAGUUGGUGGGGUAAUCGCAUGCCAAGGCGACGAUCAGGAGCUGGUCUGAGAGGAUGAUAAGCCACGCUGGGACUGAGACCCGGCCCAGACUCCGACGGGAGGGAGCAGAGGGGAAUAUUGGACGCGGGGCGCAAGUGUGAUCCAGCCAUGCGGGGGGAGUGAUGCAGGCCUUAGGGUUGUAAAGCUCUUUUGUACGGGACGAUAAUGACGGUACCGGAUGAAUAAGCCCCGGCUAACUUCGUG
rnacentral:rRNA from 1 species